rnacentral:rRNA from 1 species
AUUGAACGCUGGCGGCAGGCCUAACACAUGCAAGUCGAACGAGUGGAGGACUGGUGAGUAAUGUCUGGGACACUGCCUGAUGUAGGGGGAUACCUAGUGGAAACCGUAGCUAAUACCGCAUAACCUCCGCUUUGCUCACAUGGGAUUGGCGCGUUGGUGGGGUAAAGGCUCACCAAGGCGACGAUCCCUAGCUGGUCUUCGAGGAUGACCAGCCAAACUGGAACUGAGACACGGCCCAGACUCCUACGGGAGGCAGCAGUGGGGAAUAUUGCACAAUGGGCGCAAGCCUGAUGCAGCAAUGCCGCGUGUAUGAAGAAGGUUUUCGGGUCGUAAAGUACUGUCGGUGGGGAGGCGUUAUCUACAGAAGAAGCAACGGCUAACUCCGUGCCAGCAGCCGCGGUAAUAC